UAUAGGCAACUACGUAGGACAUGGGGAAAUCCUAGGGCCUGCAGAGCAGCAUGGCAUACUACUGUCAGUGUCAGCACAGCUGUGAAAGUGAAACUACAGAGGAGUCCGAUCAGGGGGCGUGGCUACACGGGUCACUGCUGCCUUCCUGCAAUGUGGGAAACUGAGGGGAGGAAUGGCUCUGAGCUGCAAUACUGGACAUUGUGAUAUGCUGCCAUGUAAUUGUCAUGUGUUAAGCAGCUGCCCGGGAUCUGCCACCACGAGGAGCCUGACUGCCAGCGAGGAGAGAUGGGCCGGCCUGACCAUUACAUCGCGGAGAGUACCAUAUGUGGAGGGUGCUGCUGCUGCCUUCUCAUGUCCUCCCGAGGUGUGCUCGCACACCUGCUGCACUGCUUAAAGAGAGAGCCUGGAUCACAGGGUGAGGUGAGUGGGGAGCCAGGGAGGGAAACCACUGGGACAGGGUCGCACACUGCGGACGCCAUCUUUCUGCACCUCUGCCUUAGUCACUCUAUACCUGUCACCCACUAUCUCCCUGUCAGCCCUGUC